rnacentral:rRNA from 1 species
GACGAACGCUGGCGGCGUGCUUAACACAUGCAAGUCGAACGGGCUCUGUCUGGCUGUGUGCUGGGUGGGGUUAGUGGCGAACGGGUGAGUAAUACGUGAGUAACCUGCCCUCUUCUUUGGGAUAAGCCUUGGAAACGGGGUCUAAUACUGCAUAUUCCUGUCUGGUCGCAUGGCUGGGUGGGGAAAGUUUUUUUCGGUGGGGGAUGGGCUCGCUGCCUAUCAUCUUGUUGGUGGGGUGAUGGUCUACCAAGGCGUCGACGGGUAGCCGGCCUGAGAGGGUGACCGGCCACUCUGGGACUGGGAUGCGGCCCAGACUCCUACGCGAGGCAGCAGUGGGGGAUAUUGGACAAUGGGCGCAAGCUUGAUGCAGCGGCGGCGCGUGGAGGAUGACGGCUUUCGGGUUGUAAACCUCUUUCGUCGGGGGACAAGGCUCUGCUUGGUGGUGGGGUUGAGGGUACCCGGUGAAGAAGCUCCGGCUAACUACGUG